rnacentral:tRNA from 1 species
ACCUGGGUGGCUCAGUCGGUUGAGCGUCUGAUUUCAGCUCAGGUCAUGAUCUCACGGUCUGUGAGUUUGAGCCCCACAUCGGGCU